rnacentral:rRNA from 1 species
AUUGAACGCUGGCGGCAUGCUUUACACAUGCAAGUCGAACGGUAACAGGCCUUCGGGUGCUGACGAGUGGCGAACGGGUGAGUAAUGCAUCGGAACGUACCCAGAGGUGGGGGAUAACGCAGCGAAAGCUGUGCUAAUACCGCAUGUGAUCUGAGGAUGAAAGCGGGGGACCGAGCAGCAAUGUUUGGCCUCGCGCCUUUGGAGCGGCCGAUGUCGGAUUAGCUAGUUGGUGGGGUAAAGGCCUACCAAGGCGACGAUCCGUAGCUGGUCUGAGAGGACGACCAGCCACACUGGGACUGAGACACGGCCCAGACUCCUACGGGAGGCAGCAGUGGGGAAUUUUGGACAAUGGGCGCAAGCCUGAUCCAGCAAUGCCGCGUGCGGGAAGAAGGCCUUCGGGUUGCAAACCGCUUUUGGCAGGAACGAAACGGUGUCCGCUAAUACCGGGCGCUAAUGACGGUACCUGCAGAAUAAGCACCGGCUAACUACGUG